AUGCGCGGCGGGCGGUCGGGGGGCGGGGGGCUGCGGAACCCCUGCCUGACGAUGCACCAGCCGUGGGCGUCGCUGCUGGUGCACGGCAUCAAGCGCGUGGAGGGCCGCUCCUGGCCGUCGCCGGUGACGGGCCGCCUCUGGAUCCACGCCGCCUCCAAGGUGCCCGACCCCGACACCGUCGCCGCCAUGGAGGACUUUUACCGGGAGAUCUACGCCGUCGACGGGGUCCACCACAUCGACUUCCCCCAGCACUACCCCGUCUCCCGCCUCCUCGGUCCCUAUCUCCUCCUCCUCCCCCUCUCACCUUCCUUGAUUGAUACCACUGCUGCUUUCCUCCUCAGCUUGCUGACGCCAUUGCCGAUUGAUUAUUGCUCAGGGUGCGUCGAGGUGGUCGGCUGCGUCAGGUCCGAGGAGCUCGUCUGCUGGGAGGACGUGCCCCAAUCAGUCAGGCUUGAAGGCUUGACCGACUUCUGCUGGCUUUGCGAGAAUCCGCAGAAGCUGGUGGUUCCGUUCGAGAUGCGCGGUUAUCAGGGUGUGUACAAUUUGGAAAGAAGGGUAUACGAGGGAGCAGCCAGGGGUCUUUCGCCUGUUCAAGGUCCACUGCCGGUCAAGUUCCCGCUUCCAGAUCCCAGAAACCCCUUGUCUCUCAAGCCGGGAUCUCUCAAUUUCGACUCUUCAAAGUCUGCCCUGGUCAAGACUGAGAGUGUUUCUGCAGCGAUAGCCGGGGCUAGAGCUGCCGCGACUCAGUAUUCGAGGAAGGGUAGUACUGCUGCCACUAGCAGUGAGAUUCAAACUCGAGGGAAAUCGAGGGAGAAUCAUGCCGAUGGCAGUUCAGGGAGUGGGGCUCUGCCGUCUGUUGUCCAGAACAGUCAAUCGCAUCUGCAAAACCAGGAUCCAUCGCCUGUUGUCCACAACAGUCCAUUGCAUUUGGUAAUCCAGAAUCCAUCGCCUGUUGUCCAGAACAGUCCAUCAUACUCGCAAACUCGGAAUCCUCAGUAUAUUGCUCAGAGCAGUCCAUCCUACUCGCAAACUCGGAAUUCUCAGUAUAUGGUUCAGAGCAGUCCAUCCUAUUCGCCAACUCAGAAUCCUCGGUAUAUGGCUCAGAGCAGUCCAUCCUAUUCGCGGAACCAGAGUCAAUCGUCCAAUAUCCAGAGCACUCCAUUCUAUUUCCAUGACCAGAAUCAAUCGUCCAAUGUCCACAGCAAUCCAUCCCAUUUCCAUUAUCAGAAUCAAUCUUCCACUGUCCACAACAGUCCAUCCUAUUCUCAUAAUCAGAACCCAUCGCCCAAUGUCCAGAACGGUCCAUCGUACUCGCAAAACCAUAACCCUUCUCCUGUUGCCCAGAACAGUCCAUUGUUUUUGCAACACCAGAACGCCGAGCCUCGGAGAAGUCCCAGACUACAGGGUGGAGCUCCCCACAGGGUGAGUGCUCAUUUUUCAUUCUGA
rnacentral:rRNA from 1 species